rnacentral:tRNA from 1 species
GCCCGGGUAGCACAGUGGUAGCUGCGCCUGCCUAGUAAGCAGGAGGUCCGCGGUUCGAUCCCGCGUCUGGGCU